AAGUCAUAACAAGGUUUCUGUAGGUGAACCUGCAGAAGGAUCAUUGGUAGAUGACAAUUGGCUCCUGCGGUCUUCCGUGGGGCCUCACCCACACGAGUGAACUCUCUUACGAUAAACACUGUCUACAGAAAAAGGAUACAUACAUUGAAACUAUAAUACAACUUUUGGCAAUGGAUCUCUUGGUUCUC
rnacentral:misc_RNA from 1 species